CCCUUAGAUGUUCUGGGCCGCACGCGUGCUACACUGAGUGGAUGAGCGGGUCAGGUUGCGCGAAAGCGUUUCCUAAUCUUUAAAUCCGCUCGUGAUGGGGAUUGACGGUUGCAAUUUUCUGUCAUGAACGAGGAAUACCUUGUAAGCGCGGGUCAUCAUCCCGCGCUGAAUACGUCCCUGCCCUUUGUACACACCGCCCGUCGCUCCUACCGAUUGAGUGGUCCGGUGAGGCUUUGGGAUCUGAGCGGAAAGAGCGUUUCGCUGUUUCUGCUCGGAAAACUCAGUCGAACCUUAUCAUUUAGAGGAAGGAGAAGUCGUAACA
rnacentral:rRNA from 1 species